rnacentral:rRNA from 1 species
GAUCAUGGCUCAGGAUGAACGCUAGCUACAGGCUUAACACAUGCAAGUCGAGGGGCAUCAGUUUGGUUUGCUUGCAAACCAAAGCUGGCGACCGGCGCACGGGUGAGUAACACGUAUCCAACCUGCCUCAUACUCGGGGAUAGCCUUUCGAAAGAAAGAUUAAUAUCCGAUAGCAUAUAUUUCCCGCAUGGGUUUUAUAUUAAAGAAAUUCGGUAUGAGAUGGGUGAUGUCCGUUCCUAUUUUAGG